rnacentral:rRNA from 1 species
CGGAAAGUGGGGGCGUGCCUAAUACAUGCAAGUCGAGCGGACUGAUGGGAGCUUGCUCCCAUCAGUCAGCGGCGGACGGGUGAGUAACACGUGGGUAACCUGCCUGUAAGACUGGGAUAACUCCGGGAAACCGGGGCUAAUACCGGAUAACUCAUUUCCUCGCAUGAGGAAAUGUUGAAAGGUGGCUUUUAGCUAUCACUUACAGAUGGACCCGCGGCGCAUUAGCUAGUUGGUGAGGUAACGGCUCACCAAGGCGACGAUGCGUAGCCGACCUGAGAGGGUGAUCGGCCACACUGGGACUGAGACACGGCCCAGACUCCUACGGGAGGCAGCAGUAGGGAAUCUUCCGCAAUGGACGAAAGUCUGACGGAGCAACGCCGCGUGAGUGAUGAAGGUUUUCGGAUCGUAAAACUCUGUUGUUAGGGAAGAACAAGUACCGUUCGAAUAGGGCGGUACCUUGACGGUACCUAACCAGAAAGCCACGGCUAACUACGUGCCAGCAGCCGCGGUAAUACGUAUGUGGCAAGCGUUGUCCGGAAUUAUUGGGCGUAAAGCGCGCGCAGGUGGUUUCUUAAGUCUGAUGUGAAAGCCCACGGCUCAACCGUGGAGGGGUCAUUGGAAACUGGGGGAACUUUGAGUGCAGAAGAGGAGAGUGAAAAUUUCCAAGUGUAGCGGUGAAAUGCGUAGAUAUUUUGGGAGGGAACACCAGUGGCGAAGCGCCGACUGUUCUGGCUCUGUAAACUGACACUGACGCGCGAAAGCGUGGGGAGCAAAACAGGAUUAGAUACCCCGUGGAUAGCUCCACGACCGUUAACGGAUGGAUGUGCUUAAGUGUUAGGGGGCUUUCCGCUCCCUUAGUUGCGUGCAGCUGAACUGCAUUGAGGUCACUCCUGACCUGGCAGUACGGUUAGCCAGGACCUGCAUAGCUUCAAUAAGGCAU